ACUCUCCAGUCAAAAUUCAACCAUUUCUAUUAACUCGAACAGUUUAUAUACAGAGUACCUACCAAUUUAAAUUACGUAAAACAUUCGCAAAAUUAAAAUGACUAUUAAUGGCUCAAAAUUAUCUCAAAAUUGCAAGUCUCUAUAAAUAUUUUGAACUAAAUGACAACAAAUAAAAAUUGAAAAUAUUAAAAGCAUUUUUUUCGUAAAUAUCCCCGUUCUGUCUGUUUUUUUUUUCGGUUUUGCUCAAUUAUUAAAAAAAUUACAGGAAAAUCAAAAAACAAUGUUCUUACUCACCAUCUAACUUGAAAAUUCAAUAAAUCAAAUCUUUUGUCGUUUUUUGAUUGAAUUAAUAUCUCUGGUAGAAAAAAUAAUUAAUACAAAUUUUAAAUAACGAAGUAAUUAAUGUUAUACACUUGUCCAUUUUUAUAAAUCUUUUUUAAA